CCUACGGGAGGCAGCAGUGGGGAAUUUUGGACAAUGGGCGCAAGCCUGAUCCAGCCAUGCCGCGUGCGGGAAGAAGGCCUUCGGGUUGUAAACCGCUUUUGUCAGGGAAGAAAUCCCUUGAGCUAAUACCUCGGGGGGAUGACGGUACCUGAAGAAUAAGCACCGGCUAACUACGUGCCAGCAGCCGCGGUAAUACGUAGGGUGCAAGCGUUAAUCGGAAUUACUGGGCGUAAAGCGUGCGCAGGCGGUUAUGUAAGACAGGUGUGAAAUCCCCGGGCUUAACCUGGGAACUGCACUUGUGACUGCAUAGCUUGAGUGCGGCAGAGGGGGAUGGAAUUCCGCGUGUAGCAGUGAAAUGCGUAGAUAUGCGGAGGAACACCGAUGGCGAAGGCAAUCCCCUGGGCCUGCACUGACGCUCAUGCACGAAAGCGUGGGGAGCAAACAGGAUUAGAUACCCUGGUAGUCCACGCCCUAAACGAUGUCAACUGGUUGUUGGACGGCUUGCUGUUCAGUAACGUAGCUAACGCGUGAAGUUGACCGCCUGGGGAGUACGGCCGCAAGGUUGAAACUCAAAUGAAUUGAGG
rnacentral:rRNA from 1 species